rnacentral:rRNA from 1 species
UAGCAUAUCAUAGCGGAGGAAAAGAAACCAACAGGGAUUGCCCUAGUAACGGCGAAGUGAAGCGGCAACAGCUCAAAUUUGAAAUCUGGCUCUUUCAGAGUCCGAGUUGUAAUUUGCAGAGGGCGCUUUGGCUUUGGCAGCGGUCCAAGUUUCCUUGGAACAGGACGUCACAGAGGGUGAGAAUCCCGUACGUGGUCGCUAGCUAUUGCCGUGUAAAGCCCCUUCGACGAGUCGAGUUGUUUGGGAAUGCAGCUCUAAAUGGGAGGUAAAUUUCUUCUAAAGCUAAAUAUUGGCCAGAGACCGAUAGCGCACAAGUAGAGUGAUCGAAAGAUGAAAAGCACUUUGGAAAGAGAGUCAAACAGCACGUGAAAUUGUUGAAAGGGAAGCGCUUGCAGCCAGACUUGCUUGCAGUUGCUCAUCCGGGCUUUUGCCCGGUGCACUCUUCUGCAGGCAGGCCAGCAUCAGUUUGGGCGGUGGGAUAAAGGUCUCUGUCAUGUACCUCUCUUCGGGGAGGCCUUAUAGGGGAGGCGACAUACCACCAGCCUAGACUGAGGUCCGCGCAUCUGCUAGGAUGCUGGCGUAAUGGCUGUAAGCGGCCCGUCUUGAAACACGGACCAAGGAGUCUAACAUCUAUGCGAGUGUUUGGGUGUCAAGCCCGAGCGCGUAAUGAAAGUGAACGGAGGUGGGAACCCGCAAGGGUGCACCAUCGACCGAUCCUGAAGUUUACGGAAGGAUUUGAGUAAGAGCAUGGCUGUUGGGACCCGAAAGAUGGUGAACUAUGCUUGAAUAGGGUGAAGCCAGAGGAAACUCUGGUGGAGGCUCGCAGCGGUUCUGACGUGCAAAUCGAUCGUCAAAUUUGGGCAUAGGGGCGAAAGACUAAUCGAACUAUCUAGUAGCUGGUUCUGC